rnacentral:piRNA from 1 species
UAUGUUGUUCUCCAUGUUUGCGGAUGCA